rnacentral:rRNA from 1 species
ACAGGUGCUGCAUGGGCUGUCGUCAGCUCGUGUCGUGAGAUGUUGGGUUAAGUCCCGCAACGAGCGCAACCCUUGUCUUUAAUUGCCAUCAUUCAGUUGGGCACUCUAGCGAGACUGCCGGUAAUAAACCGGAGGAAGUGGGGAUGACGUCAAAUCAUCAUGCCCCUUAUGACCUGGGCUACACACGUGCUACAAUGGUUGGUACAACGAGUUGCGAGUCGGUGACGGCGAGCUAAUCUCUUAAAGCCAAUCUCAGUUCGGAUUGUAGGCUGCAACUCGCCUACAUGAAGUCGGAAUCGCUAGUAAUCGCGGAUCAGCACGCCGCGGUGAAUACGUUCCCGGGCCUU